AGAAUCAACGCUGGCGGCGUGCCUAACACAUGCAAGUCGAACGAGAAAGUGGAGCAAUCCAUGAGUAAAGUGGCGACCGGGUGAGUAACACGUGACUAACCUACCCUCGAGUGGGGAAUAACUCCGGGAAACCGGGGCUAAUACCGCAUAACAUCUUCGGAACGCGAGUUCUGUUGAUCAAAGGAGCAAUUCGCUUGAGGAGGGAGUCGCGGCUGAUUAGCUAGUUGGCGGGGUAACGCCCACCAAGGCGAAGAUCGGUAGCCGGCCUGAGAGGGGCGCGACGGCCGACGACUGGAACUGAAACACGGUCCAGACUCCUACGGGAGGCAGCAGUGGGGAAUUUUGCGCAAUGGGGGAAACCCUGACGCAGCAACGCCGCGUGGAGGAUGAAGCCCUUGGGCGUAAACUCCUUUCGACCAAGACGAUAAUGACGGUACUGGUGGAAGAAGCACCGGCUAACUCUGUCGCCAGCAGCCGC
rnacentral:rRNA from 1 species